GCUGCACCUGAAGUGUCCACACGUGGCCUCUCCAUGUGGCUUGGACUUCUUAAAGCAUGGCAGCAGGCUCCUAAGAGGGAGCAUCUGAAGAGAAAACUGCAAGACUUUUUGUGAUACGGCCACAGAAACUCCAGAUUUCAGCUGGUUAAAACAAAUGCACUGAGCCCAGCCCAAAUUCAAGCACGCCUUGUUUACUCUGAUCCAGCAUCAAGGUGAACUCAGCUCUACAGCACCACUAACGUUCAGGUCUCCCCAGCAAGAAGAACAUGGAGUCGAGAAACUGCAGUCAGGCAACUUCAUAAUUCCAUCUUCCCAAAACUUUUUAUCUUUUUGAGCAAAAACUGUUCCAGGUGCUUUCCGGGGAAGUGGAAUUUUUUCCAUUAAGAGAAUUUCGCUAAGACUGAAGUAAAUAGACCUCUGAUUGUGCAAUGUCUGGUGAAGAUGGCGGGUGAAUCAGAACUUCCCAGCCGAGCUGUAACAGUUUUUGCCUGGUCAUCAAAGAAACAUGCAGUCCUGUCAUCCUGAUGGAAGAUCAAGCAUUUUCUGUUGCCUAAUUCUGGAUGCUUUUCAUAGAGUGCUGCUUUCAGUUGGUCUAAUUGGGAGCAGUACUUGUUGGAAUGAAUUGUUUGGUUUUCCGGAAGGCUCAUAAUAGAGGACUCCCUUCCAAUCCCACCAUCUAUACAGCAUCACCCUCUUUGGAUGAAGAGCCUUUGGUGUGGUUGAUGGUUGUUCAUUUCAUUUACCCCAUUAUCUCUUCCAUUCCACAUUAUUGUACGGUAUCCCCUUUUCAAUGCCCAUCACAAUUUGUUUUAAAAGUAGAACAUUUUCAUUACAUUUAAGUAGAGAAUCACAUGCAGAAAUAUGGUCAAGAAGGUUUUUUUCACUUAACUUAUGUGGAACCCAAACAUCAAAGUGAUUAACAGCCAAGCUGGUACAAAUGAUUUUCAGCACUUCAUUUGGAUAUUUUUAUUUAUUUUUUUAAAUUUAAUUUAAUUUUUUUUUAAUUUUUAAUAUGUCCACUAUCUCCCGUGUGGUAUAACAUUGAGUGUUCUCAAUUAAUGUCUUGAUUUGAUCGCUAUCAACUUCCACUGGCCUCCCUGACCGUGGAGCAUCACCCAGCAUGGAAGUUCGCACCACUCUUGACGUGCUCACUGUGUCACAGCACCUUCUCCAUACAUUGCACAAAUUCUUUUUGCAUUUCAGUUAUGUUUUUACCUUUCUUGAAAUAAUAAAGCAUAAUAUGCUGAAAAUGCUUUUUUCUUCCAUUUUCAAUAUUAAAAUGGUUACACAAAAAUUCACCAAUUUUGAUAAGUUUUCUGUUUUUAGAUGCAUACUGGAAUGACAGCUGUCACAGCACAGUCUAACAAAAUCAUUUCAAAUGGAGGUAAAGACAACUACGCUCUACUAGAGCCGUCUUACAGAAAAAACAACACUUUUGGCCAACCCAGUAUAUCAAAUCACCACAUUAUAGACUUUAAAUACCUUAUUUUAUUUGUUCACUAUACCUCAGUAAAGCUAGGGGAAGAGGCAGAGGCAGGGGAUCAGGCACCAUGUCAAUUUUGGUUCACAUUUGUAUCUUCAAUAUC